rnacentral:rRNA from 1 species
CCUACGGGAGGCAGCAGUGGGGAAUAUUGCACAAUGGGGGAAACCCUGAUGCAGCGACGCCGCGUGAGUGAAGAAGUAUUUCGGUAUGUAAAGCUCUAUCAGCAGGGAAGAAAAUCACGGUACCUGAGCAAGAAGCCCCGGCUAACUACGUGCCAGCAGCCGCGGUUCUACGUAGGGGGCAAGCGUUAUCCGGAUUUACUGGGUGUAAGGGGAGCGUAGACGGCAGCACAAGUCUGGAGUGAAAUGCCGGGGCUUAACCCCGGAACUGCUUUGGAAACUGUGCAGCUAGAGUGCAGGAGAGGUAAGUGGAAUUCCUAGUGUAGCGGUGAAAUGCGUAGAUAUUAGGAGGAACACCAGUGGCGAAGGCGGCUUACUGGACUGUAACUGACGUUGAGGCUCGAACGCGUGGGGAGCAAACAGGAUUAGAUACCCCUGUAGUC